UGGCUCUACACUAUUGUGUGAUUGCAGGUUCUCCUCCGAUAGCUAGGUAAUCCGGCGCUUAUCCAUAUCUACAGAGAGCAUAAUAGACUAGCGGAUAGUCUAGCGAGAAAGGCCAUCUCCACUGCAUAACCAUCCACAUUAUCUACUCCGUCAACCAUGACUGCUACUACUUUUUGAUUGCCUCCUCAAGAUGUGUUAAACAUUUUGCACGCUGAUAAAUGAGGAGACAUAGUUCCCAAACUUGUGAAGACUUUAGGAGUUUUGUCGCCCAGUACAUCGGUAAAUAUACCUACUAGUACUACUUUAGCUACUACUGGAUAGUCUAUAGAUAUUGCACAAUGUGCAUAUACCAACCAAAUUCUUCUCUGUAAUUUUUGUUAUGAUGCUAAUUUCUCUUAUAUAUAAGUGCAGGAUUGGUGUAGGGGUGUGCAUCGAUCGAUUUUUGUGUGUUAUUAGUUCGAUUUAUCGAUUUUCGAUUUUUAAAUAUGCAAAACUAAUAACCAACCAAUAAGAUAUUUUUUAUCGAUUUUCGGUUUAUCGAUUUUUGAUUCUUAACGGUUCGAUUUUUGGUUUAACCAAUAAGAAAAAUACUCACAAAAUAAAAAUAGCAACAACCAACAUAAAAAAAACAAAAUCUUAGUUCGCCAAAUCCUACGAGUUUUAGUUUACAAAAAUCUUCAAACUUGAAUUGAAUGUUAGUUGAAAGAAAAAAACAAAUCCUAGUUCUUCAAGCUUUUCAAAAUAUCCAGAUCUUGCCAAAACUCUUCAAACGCUUCAAGCUUUUGAAAAUACCCAAAUCUUGCCAAAAAUCUUCAAACGCUUCAAGCUUUUGAAAAUAUCCAGAUCUUGCC
rnacentral:lncRNA from 1 species